AUACCUACUUGGCGUCGAGAUACCGUGAUCAUGCAGGCGGUUCCCCCGGGGUGCGGCUGCUCCAUUGCACUGCGGAGUGGUUGACCCUUGCGAUUAUUUUUAUAUUUUAUAAGUUUUGUUGAAUUAUUAAUAUUCCAUAGCUUAAAAUUUUAAUGUGGU